rnacentral:rRNA from 1 species
AUUGAACGCUGGCGGCAUGCUUUACACAUGCAAGUCGAACGGAUUUUGGAGCUUGCUCCAGAGUUAGUGGCGAACGGGUGAGUAAUAUAUCGGAACGUACCCGGCAAUGGGGGAUAACGUAGCGAAAGUUACGCUAAUACCGCAUAUGCCCUGAGGGGGAAAGCAGGGGACCAGUAAUGGCCUUGCGUUGUCGGAGCGGCCGAUAUCGGAUUAGCUAGUUGGUGAGGUAAAGGCUCAACAAGGCGACGAUCCGUAGCGGGUCUGAGAGGAUGAUCCGCCGCACGGGGACUGAGACACGGCCCAGACUCCUACGGGAGGCAGCAGUGGGGAAUUUUGGACAAUGGGCGAAAGCCUGAUCCAGCCAUGCCGCGUGAGUGAAGAAGGCCUUCGGGUUGUAAAUCUCUUUCAGGUGGAAAGAAAAGGUUACGGAUAAUACCUGUAACUGAUGACGGUACCAUCAGAAGGAGCACCGGCUAACUACGUGCCAGCCGCCGCCGUAA